AGCUGACCCUGGAGUUAACAGGCUCAGACCUUAAAGGGGGUAGUCUCACAGCAGGUUCACACCCAGCACUUCAGAGUUUCAGCAAGUAAGGCAACUGCAAGACCCUCAUUCUGCCGGGAAGCUUCUGAUUAGGGCCCUAAACCACCAUCCUUUUCACAUCUGCAAGGACACUAGAGGCAACACCCAGGGUCACUCUGAGAGGGCCUGAACCUGCUUUAUUAACAGGAUCGAGGGUCAGGUAUGUUGGUGGGUCUUGGACUCUCCUCUUGGUUGUUGUUUUGGCCUAGCUCAGAGAGUUCAGUUUUUGCUGACAUCACAGCUGGGAAUGAGAAAGGCAGGGGGCUCCAGUUGGUCUCCCUCUGCCUCUCCACCACACGUACAGGACUUGAGGCUGCCAGGGGAGGAGCUCUGAAAGCUGAGUCAUUGGGGUCCUUGUGAAGGAGGGAAGCUCACCUGCCUUGGAGCCAGGAAAAUCCUGCCUGGGACAGAACUCUCAUGGUUUAAAAAUGAGAAGGGAGAGAACUGCCAUCACAUUAGAAUGCACAGAAAAUCCUUAAAACAAAAAAGUAAUGAGAGAAACAAUCUCCACUGGAAUAUAAAAUGAACUACAAAACUACAGUGCUGAAGAUGUAAUGCCCAACCGUGUUUUUACUAACCCUGUUUUUUCCUGAGUCACAGGCAGGGAGAAGUGAUGGAGGAUCUGUCUUAGGGGACUCCCCAGCCUUCCUCCCAGAGGGGUGGUGUCUGGGAGGACCUGCAGAGGAGCUCCUGAGAUGGCAGCUUGAUCUUCAGGAAAGUUGUGGGGGAGGGGUGGGGAACAGGGUGCGGCUGCUGCCAGGACAGUGUGAUAUUAGGAGGGAGAUCAGGAGUUAAGCUGUGAACUAUAAAGCUACAGUGCUGAAGAGAAGGCAAUACUGGCACUAGAAUGACAAGAUUCAUGGAACACAGUGGAAAAUCCAGAAAGAAAGCUGCAUGUAUGUAAUAUUUUAUCAUGUGAUAAAGUGAUAUGUUAAUAUCCACAAGGAAAUAGUCAAUUAUUUCAUAAGUUCUCUUUUGGAUAUUGACUUACCAUAUGGAAACAAAUAUUGCUGCAUUUCUACCUUACCAGUUACAAAUAGUGAUUUAGUUGUAAUAAAAAGAAAAUCAUUAGACUUAAAUGAUGAUGAAUUGCAUAGAAAUUCUAGGUGAGAUUGGCCUUUCUAAACCUGACAUCAAAGUAGACACCAUAGAAAAAUUGAUAGAUUUUGUUUUUUUCAAAGUUCAAUUCUCCAAAAGGUGCCAAAUGUAAAUAAUAACAAAUGAGGAGAAAUAUCUUCAACACAUUGGAUAAAGGGUCAGUAUCUCUAAAAUGGUGUAUAUUAAUUCUUACGAACCAAUAAGAAAAAACUAAUCCUCCAAUAGAAGAAUAGGAAAAGAGUGUACAAGGCAAUUCUCAAAAGAAGAAAUAUAAAUGAACUGUAAAGUUGUAAAAUGAUGCUAGUACUCCUACGAUGGGGGAAUGCAAACCGAAUUAACAAAUCUCAUUUUCUGAACCACAGAGCUUGGAUUGCAAUCAUUAUCAAAUUAAAGUAUAUGACUUAGGGAAUGUUAAUUAACCCCCCAAUUUCUAAUGUUACAUUCAACAGUACUUUAAAUCCUUAAUGAAGUUUCUGUGUAGAUUAAAUACAAUAUGCAUGCAAUGUGCUUAGUACAUUAACUACCAGAAUGUCAGUACCCAUAUUUACCAUCAAUAUUAUUAUUAUUAUUAGUCUUUUUGAGACAGAGUCUCACUGUGUUGCCCAAACUGGACUGCAGUAGUGUGAUAUUAGCUCACUGAAAACUCCACCUUCUAGGCUCAAGAGAUUCUCCUGCUUCAGCAUCCAAGUAGCUGGGAUUACAUGUGUGCACCGCCACAGCCAGCUAAUUUUUUGUAUUUUUAGUAGAGACAGGGUUUCACCAUGUUGGCUAAGCUGGUCGCAAUCUCCCGGCCUAAGUAUUCCUAACGACUGUACUACUCAAAUGCUGGGAUUACAGGCAUGAGCCACCGGGCCUGGCCAGUAUUAUUAUUACUAAUACAGUAAUUAUUGUAUAAAAAUUCCUGAUAGAUCAAUGAUGCCAUCAUUAAAUAAUCAACACAUAAAAACAUUCAAAUAAAUGAUAUGGACGUCUUUAUGCAUACUUAUGAAGUAUGUGCACCUUUAGAAGUAAGACACACAAUCCAGACACGGGAAAAUAUAAGAUUGAUUAAAAUGUAUAAAAACCAAAUAUAGGAACAAAAAUAUAAAUAUGGCAUUGAAAUAGAAUUGAUACAUACUGCGCUAUGACAGAGUGAAAAAGUUCAAGAAAACGGAUAAAAAUAUUGUUACCUAUAGUGUCAGGGAGAAAAGAGGAAUGAGAAGUCUACAAUGGAAGCUAAAAUCUUCAAAUGUGUCAUCUUUUAUAAUUUUGACUUCAGUUCCAACUAAAUGUUUUACGUAUACAAAACAAAUAUGAAACAAAACAAAAUAAUACACAAAUUUCCAAAAUAUAAAAAUGAAACUGAACAAUUAAAGCAGCUAUAUCAAUGUUGGCAUGAACAAAUAGAGAAAAACUAUUUCAAAUGAUUUUGUGGAAAAAGUAUUGUGAUUAUGUACACAAAAAGGAGAGAAAGAGAGAAAAGCAAGGAAGGAAGGAAGGAAAGAAAGGAAGGAGGGUGGGGUGAUGGAAGGAAAGGAGGAAGGGAGGGAGGGAGAGAAAAUGAUAAAAGCAAGCAUGGAAGUAAGAAAGGAGAGCGAGAAUAAAAGGGAGGGCAGAGAGAGAGAAUGUUCAACUGCAUAUAUUGGCCUAGUGUUUUAGUGGUCAUUAUAGUAUUGCUUAUAUUGUUAUAGACAUAAGGAAUAAGCACCACUCUCAGCUGCGAUCUCUGGACCAUUAUUGGAUGUAUGAUUCAGUAUGAAUACCCUUCCCAUUUUUGUCCAAAAUGUCUUGCUUCACAGCUGGACCCUAGCUGUACCUGUCUGUCCUAGGAAGCAGAGUGAGUGGGCCUUCCCCAUGUUCUAGGAGAGCUGAGAGAAACUUGCUCUCAGCCAGGCUGCUUAGCUGAGGCUUGGAGGUGGCAGCUUGGUCUUCAGGAAAGUCCUGGGGGAGGGUGGGGAACAGGGUGCAGCUGCUGCCAGGGGAGUGUGAUAUUGCAGGGGAGAUCAGGAGUUAAGCUGUGUUUCUCUUUGUACAGAAUACAGUAAAUUCAGGGCAGGAAAUGAGAGUUGGCUGGUCUAUCUUGUGUACCAGAAGCAACCACAGGCAGAUUUUCAGUGUCUGAAUCACUGUGCCUGUCCCAGGUGGCACAGUAAUAGAACCCAGAAUCAUUUUUAAUUAGAUUUUGCAGUCUCAAAUUCCAAUUGCUCCUUGUGCUUCCAGUGUCAUACUUUCCUGGAGUGAUUCCUGAUUCCAGCACAACCCUGGAGUAGUAGGGUUCAUAGUACAGAAGACACUGUGGGGCCUUCCCCUCCUGGUGCAGGUACCAGUGGAUGUAUAAGGUACUUGCUCCAGGAAGAUCACAGGUGAUUUCAGCAGAUGACCCAGUCAGCCUGGUGACUGACUUCGUUCUCCCUUCCAAGUUGGAAGAUAUCUGACUGGCUGCAAUGGGAACAACACAAAAUAUAAUGAGGCAUUUCUUAGUAUGUCGCUCCUUGCAAAAGAAGAAAAUAACAAAACAAAACAAAACCCGUGAUCCUCUCUGUAGGCAGCGCACUCACCAGGAGACAGGAAAGCUAGAAGCACCGCUAGGGCCCACCGCAUGCCUUCCUCUCUGGGGCCUUGGAAGGAAAGGGACCAGAUGAAGAGGAGCAGAAGAUCCUCUUAAAACUCAGGCCCCACUCAACAAGGAAGUGAUCCCUAGCACAGAAGACAGUAAGAGGAGCUGGUCUUCCUGAGUCACAGGCAGGGAGAAGUGACUGAGGAUGUGUCUUAGGGGACUCCCAAGCCUUCCUCCCAGAAGCGGUGGUUCCUGGGAGGACCUGCAGAGGAGCUCCUGCCUCUCUGCUCAGGCCCGUUCUCCAUCGCCCUCUUGUGGCAGCUGAGAGCAGGCCCUCUUCAGGAGAGAGCCAGGGGCAUGG
rnacentral:lncRNA from 1 species